rnacentral:rRNA from 1 species
UGAGUUUGAUCCUGGCUCGGAUUGAACGCUGGCGGCAUGCUUUACACAUGCAAGUCGAACGGUAACGCGGGGUCAACCCUGGCGACGAGUGGCGAGCGGGUGAGUAAUACAUCGGAACGUGUCCUGAAGUGGGGGAUAACCUAUCGAAAGGUAGGCUAAUACCGCAUACGCUCGGGAGAGGAAAGCGGGGGAUCGCAAGACCUCGCGCUGUAGGAGCGGCCGAUGUCCGAUUAGCUAGUUGGUGGGGUAAAGGCUUACCAAGGCGACGAUCGGUAGCUGGUCUGAGAGGAUGAUCAGCCACACUGGGACUGAGACACGGCCCAGACUCCUACGGGAGGCAGCAGUGGGGAAUUUUGGACAAUGGGGGCAACCCUGAUCCAGCCAUGCCGCGUGAGUGAAGAAGGCCUUCGGGUUGUAAAGCUCUUUCGGUGGGAACGAAACGGUUACCACUAACACUGGUGACUACUGACGGUACCCACAGAAGAAGCACCGGCUAACUACGUGCCAGCAGUCGCGGUAAUACGUAGGGUGCGAGCGUUAAUCGGAAUUACUGGGCGUAAAGCGUGCGCAGGCGGUGGCUCAAGCCAGGCGUGAAAUCCCCGGGCUUAACCUGGGAAUGGCGUUUGGGACUGGGUCGCUAGAGUGUGGCAGAGGGAGGUGGAAUUCCACGUGUAGCAGUGAAAUGCGUAGAGAUGUGGAGGAACACCGAUGGCGAAGGCAGCCUCCUGGGCCAGCACUGACGCUCAUGCACGAAAGCGUGGGGAGCAAACAGGAUUAGAUACCCUGGUAGUCCACGCCCUAAACGAUGUCAACUGGUUGUUGGGGAAGGAAACUUCCUUAGUAACGAAGCUAACGCGUGAAGUUGACCGCCUGGGGAGUACGGCCGCAAGGUUAAAACUCAAAGGAAUUGACGGGGACCCGCACAAGCGGUGGAUGAUGUGGAUUAAUUCGAUGCAACGCGAAAAACCUUACCUACCCUUGACAUGCCAGGAUGCCCGAUGAGAGUUGGGUGUGCCCGAAAGGGAGCCUGGACACAGGUGCUGCAUGGCUGUCGUCAGCUCGUGUCGUGAGAUGUUGGGUUAAGUCCCGCAACGAGCGCAACCCUUGUCACUAAUUGCCAGCAUUGAGUUGGGCACUUUAGUGAGACUGCCGGUGACAAACCGGAGGAAGGUGGGGAUGACGUCAAGUCCUCAUGGCCCUUAUGGGUAGGGCUUCACACGUCAUACAAUGGCGCAUACAGAGGGUUGCCAACCCGCAAGGGGGAGCCAAUCCCAGAAAGUGCGUCGUAGUCCGGAUUGGAGUCUGCAACUCGACUCCAUGGAG